UCAGAUAAUGAACUCAAGCUGCCGCAGUCUUCCGGGCCAAACCCACGACCAAAAUCCCUGGAACCAACGCAGUCACAGACAAACCCUGCACCGUUUAGCACGGCUGUAAAAACCCUAUCAAGUUCAUUUAACCAGUCCCCGUCAGAAGUAAAUUCUAGAGAAAAGUCAACUCCAUCAUAUGGGGAUGCUACGGUUUAUACGUCUUCUCCCUCCUUCUCUGGUGACCCUGAAUCAACCCAUCAAGCUCGGCAGGAUACAAAGUGCAUCCCAUCGAUUUCAUCACAUCCCUUAAAUGUCGUCCAGAAUCACCCUUUCACUGUGAGAAUGAAGGAGGAAGAGGAGCUAUCAAUGGACAGUGGAGAUGAAAUGUCCAGCGAUAGUCUGGAUCUGGCUUCACAUGACGGAGGCUCUUCAGAUGAAGACGCACAGAUGCGCGGACGUUUAACGAGACGGAGAUCCAGAGAAGGAGAGCAAGGGAUUUCUGCCACGUCUCAUCUCGGAGAUUCCUUUGUUCCUGCACAUGCAGACGUAGAAAAGGAUCUGCAGACUGAUGAGCCAGAACGGCUGUCAGAAGAACCAUACACGGGCUGUGGUGUUAAAGAAGGUGCACGCCACCGAGAGAAACGGAGUGGAUUAAAAAGACACCCCCGUGAAUGGACCCGAAUGAUCUAUCAGCCAUUUAAUGCUGUAGCAAACUGCUGCAUCAUCUUUGUUAUGUGCAGACAAAGACAAUUCAAUUUUUUCCUACUACUCCGUGUCAUUGUGUUUGGCCUCUUGCUAUGUCAUUGUUAUGCCCCGUCUUCCUCCUGUCAUUCUCCGUCCUCUUCGCGCACCUUCCUCAAGGAGGUCAUGCGGGAAUACCACGCGUGGGAAUGCCACAUGCCUUCCUCCCCAUUAUUUCCCGGGCCCGUCUGCAGUGUCUUGCG
rnacentral:lncRNA from 1 species